AAAAUAUCUGUCAUUAGUGAUUAAAACUGUUCGACAACACUGACUUUUUUUUUUUUUAUUUGCACCGUAAAAUAACCAGACCGCUGCUCACAGAUUAUAAUGAUCCAUGCUGUGCCACUUACAGUUACAGCCUCACACAGAGAUGUGCACUCACACCACUGACUUCAUGAAUGAAACUCAGUCAAAGAAUAAUUCAUAUACAUUUAAAUGAAUUACAA